rnacentral:rRNA from 1 species
AUUGAACGCUGGCGGCAUGCCUUACACAUGCAAGUCGAACGGUAGCAGGUCUUCGGAUGCUGACGAGUGGCGAACGGGUGAGUAAUACAUCGGAACGUGCCCGAGAGUGGGGGAUAACGAGGCGAAAGCUUUGCUAAUACCGCAUACGAUCUCAGGAUGAAAGCAGGGGACCGCAAGGCCUUGCGCUCACGGAGCGGCCGAUGGCAGAUUAGGUAGUUGGUGGGAUAAAAGCUUACCAAGCCGACGAUCUGUAGCUGGUCUGAGAGGACGACCAGCCACACUGGGACUGAGACACGGCCCAGACUCCUACGGGAGGCAGCAGUGGGGAAUUUUGGACAAUGGGCGCAAGCCUGAUCCAGCCAUGCCGCGUGCAGGAUGAAGGCCUUCGGGUUGUAAACUGCUUUUGUACGGAACGAAAAGACUCCUUCUAAUAAAGGGGGUCCGUGACGGUACCGUAAGAAUAAGCACCGGCUAACUACGUGCCAGCAGCCGCCGUAAUAC